GAUGAACGCUAGCGACAGGCCUAAUACAUGCAAGUCGAACGAGAUCCAAGAGCUUGCUUUUGGUGAAAGUGGCGCACGGGUGCGUAACGCGUAUGCAACCUACCUUAAUCAGGGGGAUAGCCUCUCGAAAGAGAGAUUAACACCGCAUAACAUUAUGAUAUGGCAUCAUAUUAUAAUCAAAUAUUUAUAGGAUUAAGAUGGGCAUGCGUGACAUUAGCUAGUUGGUGAGGUAACGGCUCACCAAGGCUACGAUGUCUAGGGGAUCUGAGAGGAUGACCCCCCACACUGGUACUGAGACACGGACCAGACUCCUACGGGAGGCAGCAGUAAGGAAUAUUGGUCAAUGGAGGCAACUCUGAACCAGCCAUGCCGCGUGCAGGAAGACGGCCCUAUGGGUUGAAAACUGCUUUUAUACGGGAAUAAACCUCUCUACGUGUAGGGAGUUGAAUGUACUGUAAGAAUAAGGAUCGGCUAACUCCGUGCCAGCAGCCGCAGUAAUAC
rnacentral:rRNA from 1 species